CUACGUCUUGGGUUCGCACUGUUGCUUAGAUCCUGCUUCUAACCUCUAUAGAAACAACGGUCGAGUGAUUGCCACCCACCGGACAACUUGACCUC
rnacentral:rRNA from 1 species